CACGCAGGCGGUUUGUUAAGCUAGAUGUGAAAGCCCCGGGCUCAACCUGGGAUGGUCAUUUAGAACUGGCAAACUAGAGUUUUGGAGAGGGGAGUGGAAUUCCAGGUGUAGCGGUGAAAUGCGUAGAUAUCUGGAGGAACAUCAGUGGCGAAGGCGGCUCUCUGGCCAAAAACUGACGCUCAUGUGCGAAAGUGUGGGUAGCGAACA
rnacentral:rRNA from 1 species